rnacentral:rRNA from 1 species
GCAGCAGCCACGGUAAUACAGAGGGUGCGAGCGUUAAUCGGAUUUACUGGGCGUAAAGCGUGCGUAGGCGGCUUCUUAAGUCGGAUGUGAAAUCCCUGAGCUUAACUUAGGAAUUGCAUUCGAUACUGGGAAGCUAGAGUAUGGGAGAGGAUGGUAGAAUUCCAGGUGUAGCGGUGAAAUGCGUAGAGAUCUGGAGGAAUACCGAUGGCGAAGGCAGCCAUCUGGCCUAAUACUGACGCUGAGGUACGAAAGCAUGGGGAGCAAACAGGAUUAGAGACCCCAGUAGUCCCUGUCUCUUAUAA